rnacentral:rRNA from 1 species
CAAUAGCGUAUAUUUAAGUUGUUGCAGUUAAAAGCUCGUAGUUGGAUUUCGGAUGUGAACGACCGGUCCGCCGUUGCGGUGUGCACUGGACGUUUGUAUCUUGUUGUCGGGGGACGCGCUCCUGACCUUAACUGGGAGGGACGCGGAGUCGGCGCUGUUACUUUGAAAAAUUAGAGUGUUCAAAGCAGGCAACCGCUCUGAAUACAUUAGCAUGGAAUAACGCUAUAGGACUCUGGUCCUAUUGUGUUGGUCUUCGGGACCGGAGUAAUGAUUAAAAGGGGCAGUCAGGGGCACUCGUAUUCCGUCGAGAGAGGUGAAAUUCUCAGACCAAUGGAAGACGAACCACUGCGAAAGCAUUUGCCAGGGGAUGUUUUCACUGAUCAAGAACGAAAGUUAGGGGAUCGA